UUGACAGACCAGUGGCGUAGCCAGAACGAUAAUUGGGGGGCCCAUAUUCAUAUAUUCGUGUUCACAUACCAUAAAAACAAUUGAUUUCAAAAGAAAUUGAUAAAGCAGAACACGAAUAUAUGAAUAUGGGCCCCCCAAUUAUCGUUCUGGCUACGCCACUGUGACAA